UACAGAGGUCCCAAGCGUUGUUCGGAUUCACUGGGCGUAAAGGGUGCGUAGGUGGCGGGGAAAGUUUGAUGUGAAAUCUCCGGGCUUAACCCGGAAAUGGCAUUGAAUACUAUUCCGCUUGGAGGGUUGGAGGGGGGACUGGAAUUCUCGGUGUAGCAGUGAAAUGCGUAGAUAUCAAGAGGAACACCUGAGGUGAAGACGGGUUGCUGGGCUGACACUGACGCUGAGGCGCGAAAGCUAGGGUAGCAAACGGG
rnacentral:rRNA from 1 species